rnacentral:rRNA from 1 species
GAUGAACGCUGACAGAAUGCUUAACACAUGCAAGUCGAUGGGGAAGUGGUGCUUGCACCAUGGUAACCAUGGCGGACGGGUGAGUAACGCGUAAGGAACUUACCUGCGGGACCGGGAUAACAGCAGGAAACUGCUGACAAGACCGGAUAAGGUCAUUAAGCUGCAUAGCUUAGUGAUGAAAGGAGACGCCUGCGGAGAGCCUUGCGUCCUAUUAGCUAGUUGGAGGGGUAACGGCCCACCAAGGCGAAGAUAGGUAGCCGGCCUGAGAGGGUGGACGGCCACAAGGGGACUGAGAUACGGCCGUUACUCCUACGGGAGGCAGCAGUGGAGAAUAAUGGACAAUGGGGGCAACCCUGAUCAAGCAAUUCUGUGUGCACGAAGACGGUUUUCGGAUUGAAAAGUGCUUUCAGCAGAGAAGGAGGAAGUGACGGUACCUGCAGAAGAAGCGACGGCUAAAUACGUG